UUCUACUUUACAGGGAGAAAACCACAUCCUAAGUCGGGCACGGCGAGGUGCCCUCUCGGACUAUAAGCACAAGGCAGGCACAGCUAAGUGCCCUCUCAGACUAGAAACACAAGGCAGGCACACCUGUCUGCCCUCCUUAUUUAAAACAUAAAUCACUCAGAACACAAGUAAAACUUCUUAACAGGAAAUGGCACAUGCCUGAUCUGCAUGUUGUUCUUUCUUCUACUCAAUACCAAACUUCUUCAUCAGCAUCAGAACGAAAUCAUAGACCUUUUGUGGAUCUUCAAGGGCCUUGGAUACAGUCUCUUUCUGCAAGCACCUCUUACAGUAAGCAAUCAUCUUCGGACACUCGGCCUCUAUGUUGAAGUUUCCGAUGGUCUCAUAGGCAUAAAACCAGGAAUAGAAAGGAACAAGUGCUAUAUCAACGUAGCCGAUGGUCUCGCCCCCAAAGUAAGGCUUGUCUCCGAGCUCUCCUUCCAUCAACUUGAGGCUGUCAAUGAAGUCCUUCUUGGCUG
rnacentral:lncRNA from 1 species